UUUAAUUCGAAGCAACGCGCAGAACCUUACCAACCCUUGACAUCGCCUGACCGGCCUGGAGACAGGUCUUUCCCGCAAGGGACAGGUGGACAGGUGCUGCAUGGCUGUCGUCAGCUCGUGUCGUGAGAUGUUCGGUUAAGUCCGGCAACGAGCGCAACCCACACCCUUGGUUGCCAGCACGUCGUGGUGGGCACUUUAGGGGAACUGCCGGUGAUAAGCCGGAGGAAGGUGUGGAUGACGUCAAGUCCUCAUGGCCCUUACGGGUUGGGCUACACACGUGCUACAAUGGCGGUGACAGUGGGACGCGAAGGAGCGAUCUGGAGCAAAUCCCCAAAAACCGUCUCAGUUCAGAUUGCACUCUGCAACUCGAGUGCAUGAAGGCGGAAUCGCUAGUAAUCGUGGAUCAGCAUGCCA
rnacentral:rRNA from 1 species